rnacentral:lncRNA from 1 species
GGGGAUUGCACUCAGUGCUCUGGGAGGUCUUUUCCAACCUGGAAACUUUUUUGAAAUUGUGUAAAAAAAGGAUGUUGGAAAGUGUGCAGAGGAUGGAGAAAGGUCUGGAGGAAUGGCUGAGGGUGUUUCAGGACACUCAGGGAUCUUCAGCUCUGAUCUCUGUGACCGAGACAGGAUCCUGGGAAUGGCUGGAGCUGUGCCAGGGGAGGUUUAGGAUGGAUUUUAGGGAAAGGUUUUCCUCCACAGAGUCCCCAGAAAAUGGGAUGAAGCUGUUCCAGGGGAGGUUUAGGAUGGAUUUUAGAGCCCCCAGAGGGUGCUGGGCACACCCAGGCUCCCCAGGGAAUGGG